AAAUAAGAAACAAUUAAUUGUAUUUAGUUUCGACCUAAAAUUUUGAUGACAAAUCAUCCUUAUUUU
rnacentral:tRNA from 1 species